GGAGUCUGAUUUGCUUGUGUCUAGCGGGGUGUUUGUUGUGUGUCGCUCAUCCUCAAGAAACGCGAGCAACAGAUACGACAUGCAGUUAUCAAAAAGGACCUGUAAGAAAAUAGAGGAAGGAGAUGUCAUCACUAAUGUCAAAUAUUUACCCCAUUGGGCUGCAUUCAUGCACUGAUGAGGAUCGCGUAAAGAAGGAAACCAGAGUGCCCUGGUGAAACCUGUGCAACCCAGGGGCAGCUUGCAAACUCCUCCACCCAGAGCUGAGGCUGGAAUUGAACCCCCAUCCCUAGGGAUGUGAGCCAUCAUGCCACCCACAGUUAAUAUUCAGUUUUAAAAAAGUAUGCCUAACUUAACAGGUUUACUUGCAAAUUUGUCUCUGGGCAAAAACUGCAUUUCAGUUCAUGUUUCACGGAGCAUAAUUUUAUAAUCAGGGAUGCACAAUAUACAGACUUUUGAAAACCACAGAAAAGAAAUCAGACAGAGCAGACUCAAUAAAACAUAUUCUUUAAUGUUUUGUAUCAUUAUUAGUCCACAUUGCAAUGGUUUAGCAAGUAAGAAAAAUGUGUGAAUUUCACAACUAAAUCCACAUCUGUUUAUUCAUGCUGUAACAACGUAUACAACAUAGUGCUGUCAUGAUUGUGCAAAGCUUUUUUGUUUAAAC